rnacentral:tRNA from 2 species
GAGCUUUUAGUUUAGUUAGAAUUUUUUAUUUACUAUAAAAGGGUUUAAGGCUUU